rnacentral:rRNA from 1 species
UUUGUAGAAUGAACCGGCGAGUUACGAUUUGUUGCAAGGUUAAGCGGAAAAAGCGGAGCCGUAGCGAAAGCGAGUCUGAAUAGGGCGCAUAAGUAACAGGUCGUAGACCCGAAACCAGGUGAUCUACCCAUGUCCAGGAUGAAGGUAAGGUAAUACUUACUGGAGGUCCGAACCCACGCACGUUGAAAAGUGCGGGGAUGAGGUGUGGGUAGCGGAGAAAUUCCAAUCGAACUUGGAGAUAGCUGGUUCUCUCCGAAAUAGCUUUAGGGCUAGCCUCGAGGUAAAGAGUCAUGGAGGUAGAGCACUGUUUGGACUAGGGGCCCUUCUCGGGUUACCGAAUUCAGAUAAACUCCGAAUGCCAUGUACUUAUACUCGGGAGUCAGACUGCGAGUGAUAAGAUCCGUAGUCGAAAGGGAAACAGCCCAGACCACCAGUUAAGGUCCCCAAAUAUAUGUUAAGUGGAAAAGGAUGUGGGGUUGCUUAGACAACCAGGAUGUUGGCUUAGAAGCAGCCACCAUUGAAAGAGUGCGUAAUAGCUCACUGGUCGAGUGACCCCGCGCCGAAAAUGUACCGGGGCUAAACAUAUUACCGAAACUGUGGAUGAACCUCUUUAGAGGUUCGUGGUAGGAGAGCGUUCUAAGGGCGGUGAAGUCAGACCGGAAGGACUGGUGGAGCGCUUAGAAGUGAGAAUGCCGGUAUGAGUAGCGAAAGAAGGGUGAGAAUCCCUUCCACCGAAUAUCUAAGGUUUCCUGAGGAAGGCUCGUCCGCUCAGGGUUAGUCGGGACCUAAGCCGAGGCCGAUAGGCGUAGGCGAUGGACAACAGGUAGAGAUUCCUGUACCAGUGCUAAUUGUUUAACCGAUGGGGUGACACAGAAGGAUAGGGAAUCGCACGAAUGGAAAUGUGCGUCCAAGCAGUGAGUGUGAGAAGUAGGCAAAUCCGCUUCUCGCGAAGCAUGAGCUGUGAUGGGGAAGGAAAUUAAGUACGGAAGUUCCUGAUUUCACGCUGUCAAGAAAAGCCUCUAGGAAGAGUAGUACUGCCCGUACCGCAAACCGACACAGGUAGAUGAGGAGAGAAUCCUAAGGUGAGCGAGAGAACUCUCGUUAAGGAACUCGGCAAAAUGACCCCGUAACUUCGGGAGAAGGGGUGCUCUAUUAGGGUGCAAGCCCGAGAGAGCCGCAGUGAAUAGGCCCAGGCGACUGUUUAGCAAAAACACAGGUCUCUGCAAAACCGUAAGGUGACGUAUAGGGGCUGACGCCUGCCCGGUGCUGGAAGGUUAAGAGGAGUGCUUAGCUUCGGCGAAGGUACGAAUUGAAGCCCCAGUAAACGGCGGCCGUAACUAUAACGGUCCUAAGGUAGCGAAAUUCCUUGUCGGGUAAGUUCCGACCCGCACGAAAGGCGCAACGAUCUGGGCACUGUCUCAACGAGAGACUCGGUGAAAUUAUAGUACCUGUGAAGAUGCAGGUUACCCGCGACAGGACGGAAAGACCCCGUGGAGCUUUACUGCAACCUGAUAUGGAAUGUUUGUACCGCUUGUACAGGAUAGGUAGGAGCCGAAGAGACGUGUGCGCUAGCAUACGAGGAGGCAAUGGUGGGAUACUACCCUGGCUGUAUGACCAUUCUAACCCGCCACGCUUAGCGCGUGGGGAGACAGUGUCAGGUGGGCAGUUUGACUGGGGCGGUCGCCUCCUAAAGAGUAACGGAGGCGCCCAAAGGUUCCCUCAGAAUGGAUGGAAAUCAUUCGCAGAGUGUAAAGGCACAAGGGAGCUUGACUGCGAGACUGACAAGUCGAGCAGGGACGAAAGUCGGGCUUAGUGAUCCGGUGGUUCCGCAUGGAAGGGCCAUCGCUCAACGGAUAAAAGCUACCCCGGGGAUAACAGGCUUAUCUCCCCCAAGAGUCCACAUCGACGGGGAGGUUUGGCACCUCGAUGUCGGCUCGUCGCAUCCUGGGGCUGUAGUCGGUCCCAAGGGUUGGGCUGUUCGCCCAUUAAAGCGGCACGCGAGCUGGGUUCAGAACGUCGUGAGACAGUUCGGUCCCUAUCCGUCGCGGGCGCAGGAAAUUUGAGAGGAGCUGUCCUUAGUACGAGAGGACCGGGAUGGACACACCGCUGGUGUACCAGUUGUUCCGCCAGGAGCAUCGCUGGGUAGCUAUGUGUGGCAGGGAUAAACGCUGAAAGCAUCUAAGCGUGAAGCCCCCCUCAAGAUGAGAUUUCCCAUUUCUUCGGAAAGUAAGAUCCCUGAAAGAUGAUCAGGUAGAUAGGUUUGGAGUGGAAGUGUAGCGAUACAUGGAGCGGACAAAUACUAAUCGAUCGAGGACUUAACCAA